rnacentral:rRNA from 1 species
UACGUAGGUGGCAAGCGUUGUUCGGAAUUACUGGGCGUAAAGGGCUUGUAGGUGGCCAACUAAGUCAGACGUGAAAUCCCUCGGCUUAACCGGGGAACUGCGUCUGAUACUGGAUGGCUCGAGUGUGGGAGAGGGAUGCGGAAUUCCAGGUGUAGCGGUGAAAUGCGUAGAUAUCUGGAGGAACACCGGUGGCGAAGGCGGCAUCCUGGACCAUAACUGACACUGAUAAGCGAAAGCCAGGGGAGCAAACGGG